rnacentral:precursor_RNA from 1 species
AUUAAGUAUCAGAUACGUCAAGCAGUGUCUUUAAAUGCUACGUAUCAGACACUUAAUAG